rnacentral:lncRNA from 1 species
GAGGGAGUAACAAGGAUAGAGAUAACACAAGAAACGACUAUUCAUCUUGUAAAAAAUGUAGCAAUGCUGUGAAAAUUUUUGAGUUUUCACUUAGGUUCCUUUUUUUUUUCUUAACGCAACUAGCUCACCAAAACUAGACAAAUAUCGAUCAAAACUUUUGUAGUGCAGCCCUCAAUGAAAAGCUAAUGACCAGAUGGAAAAUUGUGACAUGUAGGGUGGUGUGAGAUCUUGACUAAUAAGAAAUCAUUCUAUACAUUACUUUCUUCAUCCCAAAUUAUAGAUCGUUGUGCCUUUUCUAUAUUUAUAAAAUUUGCUACGCAUUUAGAUAUAUAAGUAAAAACUCUGAAUCUAGAAAAAACAAAACGACUUAUAAUUUGGG